UACGAAGGGGGCUAGCGUUGCUCGGAAUCACUGGGCGUAAAGCGCACGUAGGCGGAUUGUUAAGUCAGGGGUGAAAGCCUGGAGCUCAACUCCAGAACUGCCCUUGAUACUGGCAAUCUCGAGUCCGGAAGAGGUAAGUGGAACUCCGAGUGUAGAGGUGAAAUUCGUAGAUAUUCGCAAGAACACCAGUGGCGAAGGCGGCUCACUGGCCCGGUACUGACGCUGAGGUGCGAAAGCGUGGGGAGCAAACAGG
rnacentral:rRNA from 1 species